rnacentral:misc_RNA from 1 species
UCACUGUGAACUUGUACCGAUCUGUGUGAGGUGGGUAGAGUGCACAUGCGUGUGCACGUCUAUGCUUAAAUGAUGGGCGUCUUCCCAUCGGCCUCACAUGGAGUUAGCUUGUGUUUUUUUUUUAAAUUACACUCUUAAACUUUCCUGACUAUAGAUAAUCGAACGUGCUUUUUUUAGUGUGCUCGAUUAUCAUAACGUUGAAAAAAUGAGAUACAACUUCUAACGGUGGAUCUCUUGGCUCGUGCAUCGAUGAAGAACGCAGCCAGCUGCGAUAAGUAGUGUGAAUUGCAGAACUCAGCGAAUCAUCGA